UACGAAGGGGGCUAGCGUUGCUCGGAAUCACUGGGCGUAAAGGGUGCGUAGGCGGGUCUUUAAGUCAGGGGUGAAAUCCUGGAGCUCAACUCCAGAACUGCCUUUGAUACUGAAGAUCUUGAGUUCGGGAGAGGUGAGUGGAACUGCGAGUGUAGAGGUGAAAUUCGUAGAUAUUCGCAAGAACACCAGUGGCGAAGGCGGCUCUCUGGCCCGGAUCUGACGCUGAGGCGCGAAAGCGUGGGGAGCAAACAGG
rnacentral:rRNA from 1 species